GGGCCGUGCUCUUGCUCCCGCCGCCCGGCAGCCUCACGCUCGGCUCCAGCGGCCAAGAGCGGGAGAAAGUCCUGCUGGUGGGCGGCCGCGGGGCUGAGGGCGUCCGGCAUCCCGGGGCCGCUCCGGCCCGGGCGGCGAGAGUGCCCGGCGGUCCAUGCAUCCGCCGCCGCCCGCCGCCGCGAUGGAUUUCAGUCAGAACAGCCUGUUCGGUUACAUGGAGGACCUGCAGGAGCUCACCAUCAUCGAGAGGCCGGUCCGCCGGAGCCUCAAGACACCGGAAGAAAUAGAAAGAUUGACAGUCGAUGAAGACCUCAGUGAUAUUGAAAGGGCUGUUUAUCUGCUCAGUGCUGGUCAAGAUGUCCAAGGAACAAGUGUGAUUGCAAAUCUCCCAUUUUUGAUGCGACAGAAUCCCACUGAGACGCUUCGGAGAGUGUUGCCAAAAGUCAGAUGUCUUCCAAGGUCCAUGAGGAUGCACACUUAUUUAUCCAGAGAGUAUGGAUCUCACGUAUGUUUGUCCAGAGGGUGUGACUCUGUGGAGGAGAACACUUACUGGAAGCCCUGCAUGUUGCAGGAGUGGAAAUGCAGUUAACGGCUGCAAUGUCAUUUCUGACCAUUCUGCAGGACGAAUCAGUGUCAAUUCAUGCAUAUACCCACUCGUUCCUCCAAGUCAUUCUCCUGCA
rnacentral:sRNA from 1 species